rnacentral:lncRNA from 1 species
GUAAAGUAUUACUUUUAAUUUAUUUUAUGCCAGAAAUUCUGCUGGGUACUGAAAACAUAUAACAAAAAUAUAUGGCUAUUACAUGUGCUUUAUACAGUGAACCCUUGAAUUCAGACACACAAAUAAUUAAUAUAAUGAGGUAAGUGAUAUAAUGGUGGUGUUUACAGAGUUUUUGUGCCUAUAGAGGAGGAAUAAUCUUUUUCCUGGAGUUAAACUUAUGAUAUCUAAGUAAACAAAAAAGGGCAUAUUUGAUUGAAAGGUCAGCAUUAUAUAUUAUAGUUGUGACGACUAUAAGAUACAGAUUCUACUAAUCAAUAUCACUGUGGGAGUGACUAAUGCCAGUAAACUUGGUCAUGUUUUGUUUUAAAGGGAUAAAAUUUGCUGACAUAAUGACCAAACAUUAAUUAUUAAACAAAAACACCUGAAUGAGGUUCAGAUAUAUGUGCACUAUACUAAUGUAUACUUCAUGAAAAAUAAAAGAGAACUCCAAAUUUGGACUUGAGCCCAGAUUCAACUAGAGAAUGAGCCAGAACCAGAUCUAACAGCACCAGGUGUGGUCUAAGAAGUCAGACUUGAAAACGGAUUUUGAAGUUGGACUACUGGCCAUCCAGCUAACUGCGGGAGACCUGUCAUUAAUGUUGUUAUUGUGUUGUCAAGAACUCGGUGCUGAGUUUGAAGUGAUUGAAGCAUUAGCCUCUGUGAAUAUCUACAAGGAUAUUUUCAAAGAAGUUUCGAAAACU